rnacentral:rRNA from 1 species
UACGUAGGGGGCAAGCGUUGUCCGGAUUUAUUGGGCGUAAAGAGCGUGUAGGCGGCCCGAUAAGUCCGCUGUGAAAGUCCAGGGCUCAACCCUGGGAUGCCGGUGGAUACUGUCGGGCUCGAGUCCGGAAGAGGCGAGUGGAACUCCUGGUGUAGCGGUGGAAUGCGCAGAUAUCAGGAAGAACACCAACGGCGAAGGCAGCUCGCUAGGACGGUACUGACGCUGAGACGCGAAAGCGUGGGGAGCGAACAGG